rnacentral:sRNA from 1 species
CCCACGGCUGGCGCCGUGGGCUAUUUUCUGACGCCCUGCGGGCU